rnacentral:rRNA from 1 species
AGUGAACGCUGGCGGCGUGCUUAACACAUGCAAGUCGAACGAGAACGGGUUAUAGCUUGCUAUAAUUGUCAGCUAAGUGGCGCACGGGUGUGUAAUGUAUAGGUAAUAUGCCUCUUACUAAGGGAUAACAAAUGGAAACGUUUGCUAAUACCUUAUACUCCUUAUUAACAGAAGUUAAUAAGGGAAAGAUUUAUUGGUAAGAGAUUAGCCUGUAUUGUAUCAGUUAGUUGGUGGGGUAAUGGCUUACCAAGACUAUGACACAUAACUGGUUUGAGAGGAUGUUCAGUCACACUGGAACUGAGACACGGUCCAGACUCCUACGGGAGGCAGCAGUGGGGAAUAUUGCACAAUGGACGAAAGUCUGAUGCAGCAACGCCGCGUGGAGGAUGACACAUUUCGGUGCGUAAACUCCUUUUAUAUGAGAAGAUAAUGACGGUAUUAUAUGAAUAAGCACCGGCUAACUCCGUGCCAGCCGCCGCGGUAA